rnacentral:rRNA from 1 species
UAUUAGUUAUUUUCUUUAAACUUAAAGAAUUUGGCGGUAUUAUAGUCUAUUUAGAGGAAUCUGUUAUGUGAUUGAUAAUCCGCAUUGAAUCUUACUUGUAUUAAUUCUUGUAUACCGCUGUUUAAGAAUAUAUUUUUAGAUAAAUCUUCUAAAUAUAAUAAUAAUUAAUAUUUCAAGUCAAGGUGCAGUGAUAUAUAAGUUGAAUAAUGGAUUACAAUAAAUUGUAUUUAUAUGGAUAGUUGUUGAAAUAAAAUUUUGAAGGUGGAUUUAACUGUAAUUUUAUGAAGAUUAAUAAAUUGAUUUAUGGCUCUAUAAUAUGUACACAUCGC